AAAGCAGGAUAUCAAAUCCAAACUCCUCCUCUUCUUCUUCUUCCUCAGUUCCCUAGGAAAUUAGUCAUAUAGAUGGUAGAGAUUUCAUCACCCCUCCCCCAAAAAGAGCUUUGCAUUAUCAUAGUGCAUAGUCAAAGGAAUGGAGACAACCUUCCCUUCCUCUGCUUGGGAUCCAUGUAAACAUACAAAGACCUCAAAACUUUUACCUUCUUGAGUGGAUGCUGUUUGUGGGGGAAGCUGGUAUCUUAAGAACAGUGGUAGCCCAUAUAUUGUCCUCUGGAAGUUGUUGGACUACAACUCCCAUCACUCCCCGCAACCUCGAUCACUGACUGUCCUGGCUGGGACAGAGGGACUGACGGGAAUUUGGGCCCAAGAACACCUGGAGGGCAACAUGUUGGUUAUCCUAGUUCUCACCGAUAAAUGUAACAUGCAUAGAAACAGAAGUGGGGCUACUGCAAGUUCCACCCAACCUGUCAAGCUGCUCCUUACCCCACCUUCUUACCCCACCUUUUCUUUGCCUAUUCAAAUGUCUUCCUACCAGCUCCACCCCAGCUUUGCUAAAGGAAGCCCCUCUUAUCAGCCAUGCACGGUCAGAAAAUGGAACUUCCAUGUCUAUAGGCAGUAGAUCCCUGGAGACCAGAUGUUGGCUGAGAUGGAUCUAAAAGAGUGACAGUGCGGAAGUUCACAAUUGUGGGGACUUGUAAUGGUGAGCCUAAGAGCACAAACCCUUCUGCACAAACCUUUCAUUGGGUCAUCACCAAAGGCCAAUUAAUGCAGGCCUGCCUUUUAUUGUUUGUUUAAUACUUUGUUUAGGAAUCACACUUUCUUUAGCAGAACCUAGGACCAUGUACAGCGCAGGGGAGAAAACAAAACCACACCAGUGAUUAAAAACAAAGUCACAGCAAAAAUAUUCAUAAAACUGAAAAGUGCCCAGUGCUGCCUGGGAAUUCUAAGAAACCAAAAAUAUUGUGGGUUUUUUUAAUGGAUAGUGUAAUUUGUGAGUUUUGAGGCUGUGUGCUCCCGUACACAUGCAUGCCGAUCCUCAGUGCAUCCGAUGGCAUCCAAAUGUAGGUAAAAAUCACCCCCUCCGUCUUGGGAACCUAUAUACCAAGUUGUUUGGCAAUAUCUCGAAAGGCACCCAAAUUAGCACAGUUGCAACCCAUCACAUCAAUGUGGGUGAAGUCAUGUCAAACAGGGUGAUGAUAUCUUCAGAGGUGUCCAGAUCAGCACACCUUUAUGCAGUGCCAACAAGCAUAUCAUUCCUCUCAUAGUGAAUUCAAGUGACUGAGCAUCUUAUCAGUUUAAAAGCAGAGUAGACAAAUUCAUGGAGACUAUUUAUUCAGUUAAUUUAUUUCCUUCCUCCAGGUGGUGCAGAUGGUUCACCUCCCCAUCUUAUCCUCAUAAUAACCCUGUAAAGUAAGUUAGGCUGAGAGACGAGUGAGCUCACCCAGUGAGCUUCAUAGCUGCGUGGAGAAUCAAACCCUGGUCUUUGAGGACUAUGUUCUACCUCCCGUGCUAGAGCAGUAGGCCUCUGAAUAAGAAUUGCUGGGAGUUGCAAGUGUGGAGAGUGUGGGUGCUGCUUGUGGGCUUCCCCUUGGUAUCUGGUUGGCCGCAGUGAAAACAGGUUUUUGGACUACUAGGCCUUUGGUCUGAUCCAGCUCAGCUUGGAAGUGAAAAUGGGGCCACCUCAAAAUAAAUUAGUAGUUUUAGCUUGGGAUUCCACAGACAUGGAAACAUACAUAACUCUAUAAUUACAUAGCAAAGUGGAGGAAGUUCUAGUGGUGUGCCCUAGAAGUGCUGCGACCCCCUUCCCUCAAAACCCUGUGCCCUUCCCUCAAAACCCCUUAAGAGCACUGCUCUCUUCUUAGGGGCUGGAGGUAUCCUGCAAUAUUCUUGGAGGUCCAGCUGCUUAUUCUGCUUAAACAAGAACGAAAAAGGUAAAACGUUAUAUACAUUUCUUUCAUGUACUUUAAAACUAUUUGCAGUCCAGGUUUGGCUGCUAAAAGCAAGGUGGAUUUAGCAACUGUGCUAUCACUCUGAAUUAAUUAGUUUACAGGUCACAUCUCAACAUCUGCAACGGUGAGAAUAUUCACACCCACGGUGGCAACAAAUAGGCCUAUUAAAAUUCUUUGUAAAUCCCUGUUCAGCAAAAACGGAAGGUGCGACGAAACUUUCUGUACCAAAAUUACUGGUGUGAUUCUGGUAAUGGGAAUGUCAUAUUCAAUUUAAGAAGCAUCAUAAAAGAAACAGAACAAAAGUAGAUAUUGAAGAUAGACAUUAGAAUUUCCAGAUAGAGAUUGCAUGGGGUUGACAGUGGCCUAAGAGAAAAAGAUGAACCUGGACCCUGUUAUUCUCUUGUGCCUUUAAAAGCCACUUGAGCAGCAGGUGAAGCAUCAAGGACCAGCAUGGGGGAGCAUACUGUCAAGAGAGUCCUGGAUCUCUUCCUCCCUUUCACAGUUGCAGCUGGAUUGGUCCUUUGCUUCUGGCUCUGGCCAAGAGAAGGUGAGCAAGCAAGGAACAUUGGCAGCGAGGAGGAGGGAGAGCAGCUGUCGCUGACUGAUUACUGAUUGGUUCUGUCCGGCAAGCAAUCAGGUGGCAGCAAUGAUGAGGCAGAGGAGGAGGAGCGAUGAGGGGUUUGCCCAAGGGACCCCAGAAUCAUAGUUUGAAGUGUUUCAUGGCAUGGAGAUAAUUAUGAUCACCAGCUAAUUCUUUGUCAUUUAAGCUACUCUUAAAUGCACAAGAGCAGGGUUCUGUAAAAAGAAUUGGCAGCUUAACCUUGGGGGGGGGGAAUAAAGGAAGUUAACUGAAAAUGGAAAUGUAUUUGCUUUCAUGUCUUUUGCAUUCUUCUACCCUGAUUUCUUUGCAGUUUUCUUUCACUGAUGUUUUCUGCUGCCUGGGUUUGACUCUUGUGUGCAUCCCUCCAGUUCGUUGACUAACGUCAAGGUCUCCCCACGUAGUGAGUGGUGGCCAUACCUACUACCGCUGCCCCCCUGGAAAUGACCCCUGUCUUCACCUUACACAAGAUGCUUCCUUCUGAUACAACACUGAUGAAAUCAGAUAUUAAGGACUCUCCAGACCUGGACAGCAGCGAUGUUGCGCCACCUAGUGGCUGAAAGGCAGAAUCUGAAGAGUGCACUUCUGUGCCCAGUUAUGUAUACCACAGUCCAUUUGUUGCAAUGGCAUUAAAACACAUUAAAGAACAGAUUUAUUAA